AUACAUUAUAAGGUGAUGGAAGCCAUAAAAAGUCAAAUUUGAAAGACAAAUUUAAAAAUAGGAAGGAGAUGAAAAUGAGAAUGGUAGAAACCAACAUGACGGGUUUGGAGAUUGAGCAGUCACCUUCACCGGCAACGGCAUCACCGGCGGGUGAAGAAGGUUGCGAGGAGGUUUGGGCAUUGUUGUUGGGUUCUUCUUCUUCUUCUUGUUCGGUGCGCUUUUAGUUGAGAAGCACUUCUUAAAGAUGUGGCGCAGGGAGCAAACGUGUUUCUCUUUCGCACGAAGUGGAGAAGGGAAAGAAGGCCCGGAGCUGUUGCUGACAAUGAUCUCGGCGGUGAGUGGUGGUGCUCGUGACGUCCUGGGUUGCAGACAUCAGACCAAACUCUGUUGAUCUGUGGCUGGUGGACUGUGUUGAAUAUCCGAAUUGUUGGAAGGAAAAGGAAGGAAACAGCGGCAGGAAGCCAAACAAUGAGUAAGAUAAGGGCUUGAGGGUUGUGCUCACCAUAGAAGGCACGGUAGAAAAAUAAGAAAGAGAUAGUUAUAAUGGUGAGAGAGAGAAGAGAAAUAGGAGAGAGAGAAAGAAGUGUCAGUAAUAGCAGAUGAGAGAGAAGAAAAAUAUCGCCACGUAAGUAUGAAAUUAACGUCGUUGCAAGCUACUUAACGGAAGGGAUCUAUUAAAAGCAAAAUCAGUAACUUGGGGACCAAAUUAAAUCACUUUUAAAAGCGGGUAUCAAAGAGAAAUUCAGCCCCCAACUUGGAGACUAAAAAGGUAAUUAAACAAAAAAAAACCCUAAAGUUUAAAGAACCCCAAAUCAGUAAAAAAGCCCAAAUCAGUUUCUUUAAAACACAUGUCAACAAAAACCAAUCACACGUGUCAAGAGAGAGAUAGAAAAACUGUAAACACACAUGGACAGACGUUAGACACAUCAACAGAUUUUUUAACGACGUUAGUUUUGGAGGACUAAAACCAAAGUUUCCUAAAAAUGGAGGACUAAAUUGUACCUUACUUUAAAAGAGGGACUAAAACCAAAACCGCCUCAGAAUAUAGGGACUAAAAACAUAUUUAACCCUUAAUAAUUUUAUUACACAAGGGUGCUUUUUUACUAUCUAAUAAAAAGAUAUAGUUUUGAUAGAAAUUAAUGUAAUGUUAUAUUAUACAAAGUUUGAAAAAGUGAU
rnacentral:lncRNA from 1 species